UACGAAGGGGGCUAGCGUUGCUCGGAAUCACUGGGCGUAAAGCGCACGUAGGCGGAUUGUUAAGUCAGGGGUGAAAUCCUGGAGCUCAACUCCAGAACUGCCUUUGAUACUGGCGAUCUUGAGUCCGGGAGAGGUGGAGUGGAACUGCGAGUGUAGAGGUGAAAUUCGUAGAUAUUCGCAAGAACACCAGUGGCGAAGGCGGCUCACUGGCCCGGUACUGACGCUGAGGUG
rnacentral:rRNA from 1 species